GGGAGGGCGGGCUCGCCGGGUAGAAGUGACUUGAAGAAAGAGCGAGAAGUAUAGAAGGGCGCAGGCGCUAGUUCAGUGCUCGUGAGCAAACACCGUCUACAAGAUUCGAGUCAAACAACGUGAGAACUUGAAAUACGUCUCCAUUCUUUUUCCUUAGUACUCUCGUUCAUUCACUUACGGAACUGAUCUGCCUUACUAUUUCCACAAAAACUAGUCAUCAGCAAGAAGCUACCUGUGGGGUGCACAUUCUCAGGUCAAAUGACUUAGAAGCAACUUGAGGCAGUAUGGGAGCAUAAAAGACAGCCAGGAUGCCAAAGUCUCCGAGCAGUGAGUAGGAGUCUAAGAAGUUGGAAAGAUUCAUGGACCUCUUCCAGUAUGUGAAAGCCACAACUGUGGAGCAAAUGGGAAAGCAGCAAUGUGAGAACAGAUUAAUACACAGAGCAUCCAGAGAGAAAUACCCAGCAAUCAGUUGGAGCUGAAAGGCCCAAGAAGGAGAGGGAAUAGAAGGAUGACAUGCAUAUUUGGAUGAAAUUCACAUAUAGGAGGAAUCCAAAAAAGUGUCCGUAGAGAUAAAAAGGUUCUAGAGGUUGCCUGCAUUCCUUGACUCCUGAAUCUCUAUCACCUUCAGAGCCAGAUAUUUCCUGCUGAGUCUUUCUGAGGCUGCAUCACCCUGACCCUGACUCUUCCAUCUCCAUCCUUCAUGCUUAAAGGAUCCUGGUGAUUACAUUGGACCCUCCCGUACAAUCUAGGAUACAUUUUUAACCUUAAGGUCUUCAAGGGAUCACCACACUGUCUUCCACAAUGGUUGAACUAAUUUUCACCCCCACCAAUGAUGCUACCAUUGAAUUUAAUUAUGAUGCUGUCUUCAACAUGGAAGUUACAUAAGAAAAUCUGAAGCCAUUGUGUAUUUCAGCUAGGCUUCUUCUUAGGAAAUAGAGGUCAGCCUAGUGCAGUGAAGUCUGAUUGGAGGUGGACAAUGAGGAUCCUGCCAAGGUGCUGUCCUUAGCUUCUGUUCAGCCUAAUGUAAGUUCAUUCCUUUUGAUUACAGUCAUUUCAAUGACUUUUUUUGCCCAUAAAAUUAUGACCACAUAAUUCUUAUAGACUCUUCUAGCUUUUCAAUGUUGGGGAAGAAAGCUCGCCUAAUAAGCAACUUUUCAACCUCAGAAGCUUAAGUAUUAUGAAGCAAUAAGACCCAAGAUUUGAUGAAAGAAAAGCCAGAAUUUAGUAUGGCUGAAGAUAGGUGGGGAUACAGACCA
rnacentral:lncRNA from 1 species